rnacentral:rRNA from 1 species
UACAGAGACUGCAAGCGUUAUUCGGAUUCACUGGGCGUAAAGGGUGCGCAGGCGGCCAAGUGUGUUAGGCGUGAAAGCCUGGGGCUUAACCCCGGAAUUGCACCUAAAACUACAUGGCUAGAGCAUUGGAGAGGGUAGCGGAAUUCACGGUGUAGCAGUGAAAUGCGUAGAUAUCGUGAGGAACACCAGAGGCGAAGGCGGCUACCUGGACAAUUGCUGACGCUCAGGCACGAAAGCGUGGGGAGCAAAAGGG